rnacentral:lncRNA from 1 species
AACAAAGCUCAAAAGCAAAAAAGGCAGAAGGGCUAAAAGCGCAAUUAGCCCUUCCGUGUGAAAACACGCGGAUCCUGAGGCCGACGGGUCGGGUCUCGCGCGGGUCAAGCGAAACGACGCCGUUUUGGGUGUUGAGUGUUGGCCCCAAAACGACGUCGUACCGAGGGCUUAUAAAAGUCAAUUUUUUUUUUGAAAUUUCAUUUUUCUGAGUUUGGAAAGAAAAAAAAGAAAAAAAAAGAGGAGUUUUCUCUCUAUAGAGAACUCAGAGCCGGCCUAGGGAUCCGGCCAACCCCACCGUGGCUCCGCCGUGCUAGCCACAGUACACAGUGACCGGAAAUCGCC